GAUGAACGCUGGCGGCGUGCUUAACACAUGCAAGUCGAACGGUGAAGGCGGAGCUUGCUCUGCUGGAUCAGUGGCGAACGGGUGAGUAACACGUGAGCAAUCUGCCCCUGACUCUGGGAUAAGCGCUGGAAACGGCGUCUAAUACUGGAUACGAGCUGCGAAGGCAUCUUCAGCAGCUGGAAAGAAUUUCGGUCAGGGAUGAGCUCGCGGCCUAUCAGCUUGUUGGUGAGGUAAUGGCUCACCAAGGCGUCGACGGGUAGCCGGCCUGAGAGGGUGACCGGCCACAAUGGGACUGAGACACGGACCAGACUCCUACGGGAGGCAGCAGUGGGGAAUAUUGCACAAUGGGCGAAAGCCUGAUGCAGCAACGCCGCGUGAGGGAAGAAGGCCUUCGGGUUGUAAACCUCUUUUAGCAGGGAAGAAGCGAAAGUGACGGUACCUGCAGAAAAAGCGCCGGCUAACUACGUG
rnacentral:rRNA from 1 species